UGCCUACGGGAGGCAGCAGUGAGGAAUCUUGGGCAAUGGGCGAAAGCCUGACCCAGCGACGCCGCGUGGAGGAAGAAGGCCUUCGGGUCGUAAACUCCUGUUCGGGGAGAAGAACAGGAGAGAAGUGAAUAACUUCUCUCCCUGACGGUAUCCCCGGAGAAAGCUCCGGCUAAUUACGUGCCAGCAGCCGCGGUAAUACGUAAGGAGCGAGCGUUGUCCGGAUUUACUGGGCGUAAAGAGCUCGUAGGUGGUUUCUUAGGUCUCACGUGAAAUUCCCUGGCUCAACUGGGGAGGGUCGUGGGAAACCGAGAAGCUAGAGGGCAGGAGAGGAGAGUGGAAUUCCCGGUGUAGCGGUGAAAUGCGUAGAGAUCGGGAGGAACACCAGUGGUGAAGACGGCUCUCUGGACUGUCCCUGACACUGAGGAGCGAAAGCCAGGGGAGCAAACCGGAUUAGAUACCCGGGUAGUCCAU
rnacentral:rRNA from 1 species